rnacentral:lncRNA from 1 species
AAGCAAUCUGAGGGUUUAUAUGAGAGGGAAUUGGUUCUUUGCCGAUGACUUCCCUUCAGUCUCUAGAGGUUACUCUGAACUCUGUUAGCUCUUCCUCACUAUCUUUUUCCCUGCCAGGGUAAUAGGAAUAAAAUGGCCUUUUAUUUCACUGAAACUCUGGAUUUAUAACCUGAUUUUUGUGGACCUGUGGGCUCAAAUGAGAGAGGCCCAAGUCCAAAAAAUUU